UCAUAGCCCUGGGUGCAGCGAUUACCCUGCAGCGAGGAAGAAUGACGAAGCGAAGCGUAAAAGCGAAACACAGGAUGAAAC
rnacentral:sRNA from 1 species